UACAGAGGGUGCGAGCGUUAAUCGGAAUUACUGGGCGUAAAGCGCACGUAGGCGGCUUGGUAUGUCGGGUGUGAAAUCCCCGGGCUCAACCUGGGAACUGCAUCCGAAACUGCCUUGCUCGAGUAUGGGAGAGGGAAGUGGAAUUCCCGGUGUAGCGGUGAAAUGCGCAGAUAUCGGGAGGAACACCCGUAGCGAAGGCGGCACGUCUGGGCCGGUACUGACGCUGAGGAGCGAAAGCGUGGGGAGCAAACAGGGAUAGAAACC
rnacentral:rRNA from 1 species